UGGGGAAUAUUGGAUAAUGGGCGAAAGCCUGAUCCAGCCAUGUCGCGUGUGUGAAGAAGGUCUUCGGAAUGUAAAGCACCUUAAGUUGGGAGGAAGGGCAGUAAGCGAAUACCUUGCUGUUUUGACGUUACCGACAGAAUAAGCACCGGCUAACUCUGCGCCAGCAGCCGCGGUAAUACAGAGGGUGCAAGCGCUAAUCGGAAUUACUGGGCGUAAAGCGCGCGUAGGUGGUUCGUUAAGUUGAAUGUGAAAGCCCCGGGCUCAACCUGGGAGCGGCGUCCGAAUCUGGCGGGCUAGAGUAGGGCAGAGGGUGGGGGAAUUUCCUGUGUAGCCGAGAAAUGCGUAGAUAUAGGAAAGUACACCAGUGGCGAAGGCGACCACCUGGGCUCAUACUGACACAGAGGUGCGAAAGCGUGGGGAGCAAACAGG
rnacentral:rRNA from 1 species